AACUGAAAGAAGAAAAUUCAGAAUUGUCUACCUCGUAGCCUGGAAGGAUCCAAAUAUUUGGAAGCACUUACUGACCAAAAGAUCUCUUUUCUCUGCACCUUCUUAUCCGUCUAUCUCCCCAUCAAAGAUGAAUUUAAGCUUUUGGCAACUAUGGACAGAGAUAUGAACUUUCCCUAUUCGGAAGAAAAGCUUCCACUUUCAGCUUUGUAGUUGCACUUGAGCAUUUGAAUCUGGAAAAAGGUUUCACCUUUGGGCGUUUGAUUCAACGCCAGUUGUAACUGGUGGAGUGGAGGUAAGGUUGUGAGCUUUAAUUUGUUUGAGUGAGGGAUUCUGAAUUGAAAAUGGGAAAAAUGUAUCCUUUGUUUGGAAAUUAUUAAUUGGUGUUAACUGGGAUUGGUGAAACCCAGCGACGAAGGAAAGGGGGAGGAAAAGGAAGUAAUUUUUUUUCUUCUUAUAUAUGUUAUUUUGUAUAGGUUAAACUUUUUUAAAAGUGAAAGGGUUUUUGAGGGUUCACUUUGCUUUGGGAUUUGUGUGUUUUGCUUUGGAGUUUGGAUGAUGGAGGAAGCUCAGGGUAGUUCCAGUUCCCUGCCACCUUUCCUCACCAAGACUUAUGAGAUGGUGGAUGAUCCUUCCACCAAUUCCAUUGUUUCCUGGAGUCCCACCAAUAAGAGUUUCGUUGUUUGGAAUCCACCGGAAUUUUCAAGUGAAUUGUUGCCCAGAUUCUUUAAGCACAGUAACUUCUCCAGUUUUAUAAGGCAGCUCAACACUUAUGGGUUCAGAAAGAUUGACCCUGAAAAAUGGGAAUUUGCAAAUGAUGAUUUUAUAAGAGGUCAACCACAUCUUUUGAAGAAUAUCCAUAGGCGUAAACCUGUUCAUAGCCAUUCUUUACAGAAUGUCCAAAGUCAAGGGACUUUUCCGCUGACUGAAGCAGAACGGCAGAGUUUGAAGGAUGAGAUAGAGAAGCUUAAACAAGAUAAAGCACAACUUCUUCGGGAGUUGGAGAGGCAUGAACAGGAGUGGAAAAUGUAUGAAGUGCAAUUAAAAUGCUCAAAUGACCGCUUGGAAAAGAUGGAAAAGAAGCAAGAAAAUAUGCUUUCUUCUGUUUCUCAAGUGCUGCAGAAACCUGGGAUUGCUUUAAAUCUCUUGCAACUGCCAGAAAACAUCAUGGAUAGAAAACGAAGGUUGCCAAGAAGUAGUCUCUAUAGCGACAGUGCUAGCAUUGAAGAUCAUAUGGAAAUUUCUCCAGUACUACCGAGGCAAAAUGCACAGGGUUCCUCUAUUUUAACAUCAAACAUGGAGCGAUUGGAUUUGCUCGAGUCAUCCAUUGAGUUUUGGGAGGAAAUGUCACAUGAUGUUGACACUUUUUUGCAAAGUCAUUCAAACUUGGAUUUUGACGAAUCUAUGAGUUGUGCAGAUAGUCCAGCUAUAUCUUGUGUGCAACUAGAUGUUGAAGUGCAGCCUAAGUCACCUGGAAUUGGCAUGAAUUCUGAACCAGCUGUAGCUGCUGUUUCUGAUCUUGAUGCAUCGAAAGAACAACCUGUGGGAACAGCCCCUGUGGCUGCCGGUGUUAAUGACAUAUUCUGGGAAAAAUUCUUGACAGAAAAUCCUGGUUCAUCUGAAACGCAAUCUGAAAGAAAGGAUUCUGAUAGCAGAAAUAAUAGGAAAUUUUGGUGGAACAUUAGCAAUGUAAAUAACCUUCCUGAACAGAUGGGGCAUUCUUAGUCAAGCAGAUUAUACUUCAGUUGUGAUGCCCUACAAUUUUAUGUAAUAAAUAUAGGACACUUCCACCAUUGAUUAAAAGUCAAAUUGGCCAAUUCUAUUAGAAUAUGGGUUCAGACAACUCAGGAUACUGAUGGAGUAAAAAGUGGUGAAAAUUCAAUUAAACCAGUUUAAAGUUGGCAACUGAUAAUUGGUUUAAAUUGAUUUCUAAUUUUAUGCUUAUAUUUUUAUUUGUUUGAAAAAUCUUGAGGCAAAUAAUUA